AGGUUUAAAAGUGCCCACUGUUGAAACACAUCUGAUCUCAUCUGAAAGCUGAUUCCAGCUACAGAUUUUAAAGUGCCUACUGUGGAAACACGUCUGAUCUCAUCUGAAAGCUGAUUCCAGCUACAGGUUUAAACGUGCCCACUGUGGAAACACAUCUGAUCUCAUUUGAAAGCUGAUUCCAGCUACAGGUUUAAAAGUGCCCACUGUUGGAACACAUCUGAUCUCAUUUGAAAGCUGAUUCCAGCUACAGGUUCAUACUGUUGUAUUCUUUUAUACUGUUAUAUUCGUACCGUUUUAAAUCAUUCAGUAAAUGCAAAGUUAAACCGAUGUGUUUUUAAUCUAGAUCUAAAAGUGUCUUCUGUUGAAACACAUCUGAUCUCUUCUGAAAGCUGAUUCCAGCUACACUGUAAAAAAAUUCCGUAGAAAUUGCAGCUGGGUUGCCGGUAAUUUACCGUAGAUUUAAAUUUAUGUUUUUUACUGGCAACAUUUUGUUCAAAGUUAAAUGAACAUGAAACAUUUACAAGUCUUUGUCUUUACAGAGUAAAACUAAAAAAACAGCAUCAAGCAAAACAUUCUGGGAAACAAAAUCUGAAGCAAAAAUUAGAAAAAGGUUGAUGAUGAUUUCUGGUUCCCAGAAUGCUUUGCAUGACUCUGUUAUUGUAUAGUUUUAUUCUGUAAAGAUAAAGACUUGUUAAUAUUAAAAAUUUAUUUAACUUUAAACAAACUCUUGCCAGUAAAUUACAUAAAUGUUAAUCUACGGUAAAUUACCGGCAACCCAGCUGCAAUACCAUUGUAAUUUAUACGGAAUUUUUUUACAGUGUACAGGUUCAUACUGUUGUAUUCUUUAUACUGUUUUAUUCGUACUGUUUUAAAUCAUUCAGUAAAUGCAAAGUUAAACCGAUGUGUCUUUAAUCUAGGUUUAAAAGUGCCCACUGUUGAAACACAUCUGAUCUCAUCUGAAAGCUGAUUCCAGCUACAGGUUUAUACUGUUGUAUUCUUUUAUACUGUUUCAUUCGUACUGUUUUAAAUCCUUCAGUCAAUGCAAAGUUAAACCGAUGUGUUUUUAAUCUAGAUUUAAAAGUGCCUACUGUGGA